AAUGAACGCUGGCGGCAGGCCUAACACAUGCAAGUCGAACGGAUCCUUCGGGAUUAGUGGCGGACGGGUGAGUAACGCGUGGGAACAUACCCUUUGGUACGGAAUAGCCUCGGGAAACUGAGAGUAAUACCGUAUGUGGUCGAGAGACGAAAGAUUUAUCGCCAAAGGAUUGGCCCGCGUUGGAUUAGGUAGUUGGUGGGGUAAUGGCCUACCAAGCCGACGAUCCAUAGCUGGUUUGAGAGGAUGAUCAGCCACACUGGGACUGAGAAACGGCCCAGACUCCUACGGGAGGCAGCAGUGGGGAAUCUUAGACAAUGGGGGAAACCCUGAUCUAGCCAUGCCGCGUGAUCGAUGAAGGCCUUAGGGUUGUAAAGAUCUUUCAGGUGGGAAGAUAAUGACUGUACCACCAGAGGAAGCCCCGGCUAACUACGUGCCAGCAGCCGCCGUAA
rnacentral:rRNA from 1 species